UAAGGCUGGCAUGUUGACCUGCGAAUGGUUAAGGGCACAGGCAUAAGAUACGUUGACAACCAGGACAACCUCCAUUCUUACACCGGGAAAAGAAUCUUCAGCAGCUCAGGUCACAAACUUGCCCGAUGAAGGAUGCAAGGAGCAUCAGACUUCUCCUUUGUCUUGAGACACUGCAAGAGAGGAGAUCCCACAGAGAAAUAAAAAAC